rnacentral:rRNA from 1 species
AUUGAACGCUGGCGGCAUGCUUUACACAUGCAAGUCGAACGGCAGCACGGGUGCUUGCACCUGGUGGCGAGUGGCGAACGGGUGAGUAAUGCGUCGGAACGUACCGAGUAAUGGGGGAUAACGCACCGAAAGGUGUGCUAAUACCGCAUACGCCCUCCGGGGGAAAGCAGGGGAUCGCAAGACCUUGCGUUAUUCGAGCGGCCGACGUCUGAUUAGCUAGUUGGUGGGGUAAUGGCUCACCAAGGCGACGAUCAGUAGCGGGUCUGAGAGGAUGAUCCGCCACACUGGAACUGAGACACGGUCCAGACUCCUACGGGAGGCAG